UGGUGGAGUGAUUUGUCUGGUUAAUUCCGUUAACGAACGAGACCUCAGCCUGCUAAAUAGUUGGACAUAGUCUUCUAUGUUUUUGACUUCUUAGAGGGACUUUCGGUGGUUAGCCGAAGGAAGUUUGAGGCAAUAACA
rnacentral:rRNA from 1 species